CCUCGAAAUAGAAGAUUUUGCGGAGGACGCGGCAUCUCUUGCUGGGUAGAUGAUUCUUUCUUUGAGUGUUUGAAAGUUUCCAAACGGCAUCACUUCAUAUAUUCACAACUUUAUAACAAAUAAUUAUAAGCAGGAAAAGUUGCAAGCAAAUGCUAAAAUGUGAAAAAGAAGAAACAAACGUAUGUCGUCACAGAUAAAGUCCUCUUGUGAUGUAGUGAAAAUCAAAUUAUUCAACUUCCGCCGCUGUAGGUGUUAC
rnacentral:lncRNA from 1 species